UGCCUUAACUGGUGUUGUCAUCUUGCAGU
rnacentral:piRNA from 1 species